GAAAAACCAAUAAAAAAAUUUAGAAAUUUUUGAUUUGAGUCUAUAACGUAUCAUUUGUUGUAUCCCGUAUGGAGCCAUCUUCUUCGCCCGACAUGCGCUACAAGUAUCCCUACUUGGUCGGCCACCGGUGGGACCGACGCGCGCCCAGGAAAGUGUGGUGGCGCUACACCAGUUUCCUGAGCAGUACCCGCCUUCUCGUACUGAGAGCUGUUCCCUUUCCUCCUCCAUUUCAGCUGGAGUUUUUUUAAAUUGUGACAAGUAGAAUUGUGAAAACGAAAAAAAAUAAUGAAAUUAAUAUUUGAUGCUUUGAUGCAACAAAUUCC
rnacentral:lncRNA from 1 species